rnacentral:rRNA from 1 species
AUUGAACGCUGGCGGCAGGCCUAACACAUGCAAGUCGAGCGGUAGCACAAGGGAGCUUGCUCCCUGGGUGACGAGCGGCGGACGGGUGAGUAAUGUCUGGGAAACUGCCUGAUGGAGGGGGAUAACUACUGGAAACGGUAGCUAAUACCGCAUAACGUCUUCGGACCAAAGAGGGGGACCUUCGGGCCUCUUGCCAUCGGAUGUGCCCAGAUGGGAUUAGCUGGUAGGUGAGGUAAAGGCUCACCUAGGCGACGAUCCCUAGCUGGUCUGAGAGGAUGACCUGCCACACUGGAACUGAGACACGGUCCAGACUCCGACGGGAGGCAGCAGUGGGGAAUAUUGCACAAUGGGCGCAAGCCUGAUGCAGCCAUGCCGCGUGUGUGAAGAAGGCCUUCGGGUUGUAAAGCACUUUCAGCGGGGAGGAAGGGGGUAAGGUAAAUACCUUUACCCAUUGACGUUACCCGCAGAAGAAGCACCGGCUAACUCCGUGCCAGCAGCCGCGGUAA